rnacentral:rRNA from 1 species
CCUACGGGCGGCAGCAGUGAGGAAUAUUGGUCAAUGGACGAGAGUCUGAACCAGCCAAGUAGCGUGAAGGAUGACUGCCCUAUGGGUUGUAAACUUCUUUUAUAAAGGAAUAAAAUGAUGCACGUGUGCCUUUUUGUAUGUACUUUAUGAAUAAGGAUCGGCUAACUCCGUGCCAGCAGCCGCGGUAAUACGGAGGAUCCGAGCGUUAUCCGGAUUUAUUGGGUUUAAAGGGAGCGUAGGUGGGUUGUUAAGUCAGUUGUGAAAGUUUGCGGCUCAACCGUAAAAUUGCAGUUGAAACUGGCAGUCUUGAGUACAGUUGAGGUAGGCGGAAUUCGUGGUGUAGCGGUGAAAUGCUUAGAUAUCACGAAGAACCCCGAUUGCGAAGGCAGCUUACUAAACUGUGACUGACAUUGAGGCUCGAAAGUGUGGGUAUCAAACAGGAUUAGAUACCCGGGUAGUC